GCCGGGCGUGGUGGUGCCCGCCUGUAAUCCCAGCUUCUCAGGAGGCUGAGGCAGGAGAAUUGCUUGAGCCCAGGAGGCAGGGGUGGCAGUGAGCUGAGAUCGUGCCACUGCACUCCAGCCUGGGUGAGAGAGCGAGACUCCAUCUCAA
rnacentral:SRP_RNA from 1 species